rnacentral:rRNA from 1 species
GUCCACGCCGUAAACGAUGUCUACUUGGAGGUUGUGGCCUUGAGCCGUGGCUUUCGGAGCUAACGCGUUAAGUAGACCGCCUGGGGAGUACGGUCGCAAGAUUAAAACUCAAAUGAAUUGACGGGGGCCCGCACAAGCGGUGGAGCAUGUGGUUUAAUUCGAUGCAACGCGAAGAACCUUACCUACUCUUGACAUCCAGAGAACUUUCCAGAGAUGGAUUGGUGCCUUCGGGAACUCUGAGACAGGUGC